rnacentral:rRNA from 1 species
CCCUUAGAUGUUCUGGGCCGCACGCGUGCUACACUGAGUGGAUCAGCGGGUCAGGUUGCGCGAAAGCGUUUCCUAAUCUUUAAAUCCGCUCGUGAUGCGGAUUGACGGUUGCAAUUUUCUGUCAUGAACGAGGAAUACCUUGUAAGCGCGGGUCAUCAUCCCGCGCUGAAUACGUCCCUGCCCUUUGUACACACCGCCCGUCGCUCCUACCGAUUGAGUGGUCCGGUGAGGCUUUGGGAUCUGAGCGGAAAGAGCGUUUCGCUGUUUCUGCUCGGAAAACUCAGUCGAACCUUAUCAUUUAGAGGAAGGAGAAGUCGUAACA